GACCCUGUGGACAUGCCUUCUCCUCAUUCCUUGUGGAGCAGGAAUAUAUCCAUGACAUGCUACCUUUAAAAAAAGGAGUUUUCAGGGCUGCCAACCUUACAGUACAGGUUGAGUGGUAGUAUAUUUCUCCUACAUUA
ensembl:snoRNA small nucleolar RNA U109